rnacentral:rRNA from 1 species
CUACGUGCCAGCAGCCGCGGUAAUACGUAGGUGGCAAGCGUUGUCCGGAAUUAUUGGGCGUAAAGCGCGCGCAGGCGGAUCGGUCAGUCUGUCUUAAAAGUUCGGGGCUUAACCCCGUGAUGGGAUGGAAACUGCCAAUCUAGAGUAUCGGAGAGGAAAGUGGAAUUCCUAGUGUAGCGGUGAAAUGCGUAGAUAUUAGGAAGAACACCAGUGGCGAAGGCGACUUUCUGGACGAAAACUGACGCUGAGGCGCGAAAGCCAGGGGAGCGAACGGGAUUAGAUACCCCGGUAGUCCACGCUGUAAACGUUGGGCACUAGGUGUGGGGGCCACCCGUGGUUUCUGCGCCGUAGCUAACGCUUUAAGUGCCCCGCCUGGGGAGUACGGCCGCAAGGCUAAAACUCAAAGGAAUUGACGGGGGCCCGCACAAGCGGCGGAGUAUGUGGUUUAAUUCGACGCAACGCGAAGAACCUUACCAGGUCUUGACAUUGAUGGACAGAACUAGAGAUAG